rnacentral:tRNA from 1 species
CGGGGUGUAGCUCAGUUGGUAGAGUGCACGUUUCGGGUACGUGAGGCCGGCGGUUCGAGUCCGCCCACCCCGACCA